rnacentral:lncRNA from 1 species
UCCUAGAAGUCAUGGAUGAUGCAAUCAUAACGAAGCUUACAUCGCUCUGCUGAACAAACUGCCCUAUAUCAGCUCUAGAAAUCAUACAGUGUCGUGCUCUCUUAUUUGUCAGUGUUUGAUUUUGCAAAGGGACACAUUUCUGUUUAGCCAAAGUGAGCAGAGAUGCCUCGUACUUGUGUGAACAGUGCAGAUAGCAGAAGUUAUGUUUGUGGUGAAGUGACUUUUGCCUCACAAAAGCGCAGUAUAACCACUAUGGUUAAGAAAGCCUAUCACCUUUAUUUUGGCUGCAAAAUUGGAGAUCAGGACAAGAGGUGGGCCCCACACAUAUGCUGCAACACUUGUGCAACAAAUUUUCGCCAGUGGUUGAACAGGAAAAGGAAAUCUAUGCCUUUUGCACUGCCAAUGAUUUGGAGAGAGCCAACAGAUCAUAUCAGCAAUUGUUACUUCUGCAUGGUGCCUACAGUUGGGAAAGGUGUGUCAAAGAAGAAAAAGUGGACUGUGCAUUAUCCAAAUAUUCCAUCAGCUAUACGCCCAGUACCCCAUGGAGAAGGACUGCCAGUUCCUGAUGCACCAGAAUCAUUCUCACUUGAGUCAGACGAGGAAGAGGAAGAGGAUGAAACUUCUGGUCCUGAACCAUCAAUGUCACAGGACCCACAUUUUCUCCCAUCCUCCUCCUCUGAACCACACCUCAUAACACCAGGUGAACUGAAUGACCUUGUCAGGGAUUUGGAACUACCCAAGAGUAAGGCAGAGCUGUUGGGCUCCAGACUACAGCAGUGGAAUCUCCUGGCAGAUGAUGUUAGGGUUUCCAUGUUCCGUGACCGUCAAAAGGAUCUUGUCCCAUUCUUCUUCAUGGAAGGUGAUCUUGUAGCCUGCAACAACAUCGAUGGUGUGAUGGCAGCCCUCAACAUCGUUCGCGAUCCAGAUAAGUGGAGACUGUUCACUGAUUCAUCGAAGACGAGUCUUAAAGCUGUUUUACUGCAUAAUGACAAUGUUUUGCCAUCAAUUCCAGUUGGUCAUGCAGUCCAUAUGAAGGAAACCUAUGACAAC